rnacentral:rRNA from 1 species
CCUACGGGUGGCAGCAGUGAGGAAUAUUGGUCAAUGGACGAGAGUCUGAACCAGCCAAGUAGCGUGAAGGAUGACUGCCCUCUGGGUUGUAAACUUCUUUUAUAAAGGAAUAAAACGAGGCACGUGUGCCUUUUUGCAUGUACUUUAUGAAUAAGGAUCGGCUAACUCCGUGCAAGCAGCCGCGGUAAUACGGAGGAUCCGAGCGUUAUCCGUAUUUAUUGGGUUUAAAGGGAGCGUAGAUGGGUUGUUAAGUCAGUUGUGAAAGUUUGCGGCUCAACCGUAAAAUUGCAAUUGAUACUGGCAGUCUUGAGUACAGUUGAGGUAGGCGGAAUUCGUGGUGUAGCGGUGAAAUGCUUAGAUAUCACGAAGAACUCCGAUUGCGAAGGCAGUUCACUGGACUGCAACUGACACUGAGGCUCGAAAGUGUGGGUAUCAAACAGGAUUAGAUACCCCGGUAGUC